rnacentral:rRNA from 1 species
GACGAACGCUGGCGGCGUGCUUAACACAUGCAAGUCGAACGGAAAGGCCCUGCUUUUGUGGGGUGCUCGAGUGGCGAACGGGUGAGUAACACGUGAGUAACCUGCCCUUGACUUUGGGAUAACUUCAGGAAACUGGGGCUAAUACCGGAUAGGAGCUCCUGCUGCAUGGUGGGGGUUGGAAAGUUUCGGCGGUUGGGGAUGGACUCGCGGCUUAUCAGCUUGUUGGUGGGGUAGUGGCUUACCAAGGCUUUGACGGGUAGCCGGCCUGAGAGGGUGACCGGCCACAUGGGGACUGAGAUACGGCCCAGACUCCUACGGGAGGCAGCAGUGGGGAAUAUUGCACAAUGGGCGGAAGCAUGAUGCAGCAACGCCGCGUGCGGGAUGACGGCCUUCGGGUUGUAAACCGCUUUCGCCUGUGACGAAGCGUGAGUGACGGUAAUGGGGAAAGAAGCACCGGCUAACUACGU